UAUGAUGAUAUGACAAUAAAAUUUUAGAUCAAAGUUAUUGAUCUUGUUUUAAUAGUAUAAAGAAUUUUCUAUCAAAAUUUCAUGUGAUUUGGAUAUUUCUACACCGUUAAACUUGCAACCGGCUCACAACGGCCGUUAAAAUUAUUGAUUUUGAGCCCCUUCGAUCACUAAGCAAAUGAUAUCGAAAAAUCACAAAAUUUAUUUUCUAGGUACUUCAAAUACUCUAGAUCAACUCUAACGGAGCCGAUCGUCGAUUCGAAAGUCCGAACAUCGAAAAUAAUUUGGAAGUACGGAAGGCUCCGUGCUUCCAUAAGCAUACCAGCCUACUCUCUCUCUCUCUCUCUCUCUCUCUCUCUCUAUAUAUAUAUAUAUAUAUAUAUAUAUAUAUAUAUAUAUAUAUAUAUAUAAUGUCCAUAAAUAUUUAUAAUAUUAAAGAUCAGUUCAAGUCCGAAGAUAUAACAAAACAACUGCCUAUGUAUUAAUUAUUUGCACUGGGUUAACAAAAUGCAUAGUAAAGUGCAUAAUAUAGAAGGUCCAAAAGUUUUAUUCAAUGUUGCUACCGCCCUGGAUCUUCUGCAAACCUGUAAGUUUAAUGUAUGAAAAAAUAUUAGUUAUGGAUCUGUAACUAUAUAUCAUAAGUAUAAUAGAAUUACCUAAGGCACUUUCUUCUUGGUUGUUCCACAUCAGAAGUUACUUCUAAUUUAUCUUGCAUGUAUUAUCAUC
rnacentral:lncRNA from 1 species